AAAGCGAGUAGUGAAAGGUCCCGGCUCAACCGGGGAUACAUUAUUCGAACUCACAAGCUAGAGCAUAGUAGAGGUACCUGGAAUUCCUAGUGUAGGAGUGAAAUCCGUAGAUAUUAGGAGGAACACCGAUGGCGUAAGCAGGGUACUGGGCUAUUGCUGACACUAAGGCACGAAAGCGUGGGGAGCGAACGGGAUUAGAUACCCCGGUAGUCCACGCCGUAAACUAUGGAUGCUA
rnacentral:rRNA from 1 species